AUAUUGGACAAUGGGGGCAACCCUGAUCCAGCCAUGCCGCGUGUGUGAAGAAGGCCUUUUGGUUGUAUAGCACUUUAAGUGGGGAAGAGGGUACCGAUGCUAAUACCAUCGAGUAUUGGACAUUACCCACAGAAUAAGCACCGGUUAACUCUGUGCCAGCAGCCCCGGUAAUACAGAGGGUGCAAGCGUUAAUCGGAAUUACUGGGCGUAAAGCGAGUGUAGGUGGCUUAUUAAGUCACAUGUGAAAUCCCUGGGCUUAACCUAGGAACUGCAUGUGAUACUGGUAGUGCUAGAGUAUGUGAGAGGGGGGUAGAAUUCCAGGUGUAGCGGUGAAAUGCGUAGAUAUCUGGAGGAAUACCGAUGGCGAAGGCAGCCCCCUGGCAUAAUACUGACACUGAGACUCGAAAGCGUGGGGAGCAAACAG
rnacentral:rRNA from 1 species